AAAAGUCGUAACAAGGUUUCCGUAGGUGAACCUGCGGAAGGAUCAUUAUCGAGUUGAAAGGGGUUGUAGCUGGCCUUUUACGAGGCAUGUGCACACCCCACUCAUCCACUCAACACCUGUGCACACUAUGUAGGUUUAGAUGAGCAUCGGGGCUUCGGCUUCGGUGGGAGUCUGACCUAUGUCUUUAUAAACUCUGUUUAGUAAAUGAAUGUAAUUGCGAUAAACGCAUUUUAUACAACUUUCAGCAACGGAUCUCUUGGCUCUCGCAUCGAUGAAGAACGCAGCGAAAUGCGAUAAGUAAUGUGAAUUGCAGAAUUCAGUGAAUCAUCGAAUCUUUGAACGCACCUUGCGCCCCUUGGUAUUCCGAGGGGCACACCUGUUUGAGUGUCGUGAAAUUCUCAACUCAAAUACCUUUGCUGGUGUUUGAGCUUGGAUUUGGGGGUUUUGCUGGCUUGUGUCGGCUCCCCUUGAAUGUAUUAGCUCGGACCCUUGCGGAUCAGCUAUCGGUGUGAUAAUUGUCUACGCCGUGGUUGUGAUGCCACCUUUUAGGUGUUGAGGGAUCGGCUUCCAAUCGUCCCUUGGGACAAUUAUUUUGAAAUCUGACCUCAAAUCAGGUGGGACUACCCGCUGA
rnacentral:rRNA from 1 species